AACGAACGCUGGCGGCAGGCUUAACACAUGCAAGUCGAACGCCCCGCAAGGGGAGUGGCAGACGGGCGAGUAACGCGUCGGAACAUACCCUUUCCUGCGGAAUAGCUCUGGGAAACUGGACUUAAUACCGCAUACGCCCUACGGGGGAAAGAUUCAUCGGGGAAGGAUUGGCCCGCGUUGGAUUAGCUAGUUGGUGGGGUAAAGGCCUACCAAGGCGACGAUCCAUAGCUGGUCUGAGAGGAUGAUCAGCCACAUUGGGACUGAGACACGGCCCAAACUCCUACGGGAGGCAGCAGUGGGGAAUAUUGGACAAUGGGCGCAAGCCUGAUCCAGCCAUGCCGCGUGAGUGAUGAAGGCCUUAGGGUUGUAAAGCUCUUUCACCGAUGAAGAUAAUGACGGUAGUCGGAGAAGAAGCCCCGGCUAACUUCGUGCCAGCCGCCGCCGUAACAC
rnacentral:rRNA from 1 species